GUUCAGAGCCAAGAAUGAUUGGAAGCCUGGAUGGAAACAGUUAGGCAGGGAAGUGGGCGAUCGGAGGUGAGAGGGCAGCAUCUUGUGCCAGCAGGUGCCGACAGCUGAGCCAUUCCACACACCUUUAGGGCAAAGAAGCACCGGAAGCCAGAGCAGGGCCAAGUUCAAAGACUGGACAUUCUUUCCGAGGCUACCAGAAGCAGCCCGGAGGGCCGGCUCCCGCGUUACAUAAGCAUCAGGUUAGCAGGUCCAUCAACCGCUGCACUCAGCCUUGGCCUCUCGGACUUGCGCAACUAUUGCGUAGAAGCACUUGUUCCGUGUGGCAACAGGGCUACAUGGUUAUCAAAUACAUGGUGCAUCCGCCCAGACUCACUUAGACGACACCAAAGCUCUUCACCACCAGGUGGUUAAAGCUGCCGGAUGGGGCUGGCAGGAGGCAAAGCUGUGACUUACUGUAGCUCUUGGCCCAAGCCGCUGAACACUCAGUACCUUGUACCCCGUUAGCCUUGGGCAGUAAAGCCUCUGAUAAAAUGUUCUUUUUUGCUGUU